rnacentral:misc_RNA from 1 species
ACUUUAGUUUCGACAUCUAGACUCUAUGUUAACCCUUUGUCAAGAUAAAGUCUCUUCAUCUUAGAAGGUCUCUAAGCCUGAUUAUGUAAACUGACCCCCGUGACUGGUGACAGGGGCUCCAGAGGAGAUUAAUUACAAGUACAGCGGCUAAAAGGUAUGGAAUGGAUAUGAUGGGUUUUGGCAAAAUGGAGCUGUUCUUGAGACCAUGGCAAACUUCAUAGAAUUUGCAAAGCACCAGAGAUAUAUGAGUGUAGUGAAAGGGUCACACAGAGAUCUAUACUCGCUGAUGGAGGCCUACGGUCCCUACCCUUCCUUUGAUGACAUGGGAUGGUACGGUCUUAGCUACGCGAGGAUAUACGAGCUGUUCGGCUUCCAAGAUUUUCUACAGACAGCCCAAGACAUCUUCGACUGGUGCUGGAAGACGGGUUGGGAUUCAUCUAAUAAAUGUGAAGGCGGGAUGUGGUUUGAUAACAAUGUCAAUGCCAAAGUGGCAAUCACCAACGUGCAAAUGUUCCAUGUAGCUGCAAAACUUUACCGUUUGACAAACAACACUGAGUACCGAAACAAAUCCGAAAUGAUAGAAAAUUUCCUUUUUGCAAACAACUUCAUAAACAGUUCUACCUAUCUAAUGAGUGAUGGAAUAGAUCUAGACACAUGCAAGCCCUCAAAUACUGUUGGUUUUACAUAUGAGACUGGAGUGUUGAUAGGUGCGCUCUCUGAAAUGUAUAGAUUAACGAAGAACGAGUCCUAUCUCGGUCUCGCUGAGAACUUAGCCUCUGCCGUCAUUGACUACAACAGCAAUACGACUGGGGUCUUUACGGAGAAGAACUGCGACCCGGACUGCGACGACGAUGCGAAGAUGUUCAAAGGAAUAUUCGUCAGAAACCUGCGAUAUUUCAUGGAUACUGUGAAUAACGCAACCUUACGUAAGAAAUACCAGAAUUGGAUGGAAUUCCAAAUUCAGGCAAAUCUUAAACAAAAUAUGUGCAACGAGGUUCCAAUUUCAAAAUGCUACAUUGUGUUCAAAGAUGGUCCUCCGUCUUUUAAGGUGACGGGACCCGUGUUUUCGUCGAACUGGAACGGUCCGUUUGACUAUGGUGCGCCGAUGCAGCAGACGUCAGUUUUAGAUCUGUUUGUUGCUAGUAUUUUACCUGGCACCAAAUGUUCAGGGGUUUUCUGUAACUAUGACCCACGUAUUCCACCGCCGAAACCGAUGACUUGUUCCUCGCGACCGUGUCCCCCGGGGGAGGACUGCUGUGCAUACAAACACAAAGCUUCAUACACGUGCUGUGAUAAAUCGCAAAAGUGCAACAAGCAAGGAAUCUGCGUUUAAAUCAUUUCGAUGUAAUAUUUGUUGCACACUUAAUUUGAAGUUUAAAUAAAGACGUCUUUAUCAUAAGUCGGCAGGAAG